GACGAACGCUGGCGGCGUGCUUAACACAUGCAAGUCGAACGGAAAGGCCCUGCUUUUGUGGGGUGCUCGAGUGGCGAACGGGUGAGUAACACGUGAGUAACCUGCCCUUGACUUUGGGAUAACUUCAGGAAACUGGGGCUCAUACCGGAUAGGAGCUCCUGCUGCAUGGUGGGGUUUGGAAAGUUUCGGCGGUUGGGGAUGGACUCGCGGCUUAUCAGCUUGUUGGUGGGGUAGUGGCUUACCAAGGCUUUGACGGGUAGCCGGCCUGAGAGGGUGACCGGCCACAUUGGGACGGAGAUACGGCCCAGACUCCUACGGGAGGCAGCAGUGGGGAAUAUUGCACAAGGGGCGGAAGCCUGAUGCAGCAACGCAGCGUGCGGGAUGACGGCCUUCGGGUUGUAAACCGCUUUCGCCUGUGACGAAGCGUGAGUGACGGUAAUGGGUAAAGAAGCAACGGCUAACUACGUG
rnacentral:rRNA from 1 species